GACGAACGCUGGCGGCGUGCUUAACACAUGCAAGUCGAACGGAAAGGCCCUGCUUUUGUGGGGUGCUCGAGUGGCGAACGGGUGAGUAACACGUGAGUAACCUGCUCUUGACUUUGGGAUAACUUCAGGAAACUGGGGCUAAUACCGGAUAGGAGCUCCUGCUGCAUGGUGGGGGUUGGAAAGUUUCGGCGGUUGGGGAUGGACUCGCGGCUUAUCAGCUUGUUGGUGGGGUAGUGGCUUACCAAGGCUUUGACGGGUAGCCGGCCUGAGAGGGUGACCGGCCACAUUGGGACUGAGAGACGGCCCAGACUCCUACGGGGGGCAGCAGUGGGGAAUAUUGCACAAUGGGCGGAAGCCUGAUGCAGCAACGCCGCGUGCGGGAUGACGGCCUUCGGGUUGUAAACCGCUUUCGCCUGUGACGAAGCGUGAGUGACGGUAAUGAGUAAAGAAGCACCGGCUAACUACGUG
rnacentral:rRNA from 1 species